rnacentral:rRNA from 1 species
ACGCCGAGUGUGGGACGAAGCCCUUCGGGGUGUAAACCACUGUCAAGAGAAAGAAAGUUCUGAUCUACUCUAAAGGAAGUGGCGACUAACUCUGUGCCAGCAGUCGCGGUAAUACAGAGGCCACAAGCGUUAGGCGGAAUCACUGGGCUUAAAGCGUGUGUAGGCGAGAUGGUAAGUACCUUGUGAAAUCCCACGGCUUAACCGUGGAAAUGCUUGGUAUACUGCCGUCCUUGAGUCAUCUAGGGGCAGCCGGAACAGAUGGUGGAGCGGUGAAAUGCGUAGAUAUCAUCUGGAACGCCAAUGGUGCAGACAGGCUGCUGGGGAUGUA